rnacentral:rRNA from 1 species
UACGUAGGGUGCGAGCGUUGUCCGGAAUUAUUGGGCGUAAAGAGCUCGUAGGCGGUCUGUCGCGUCGAUCGUGAAAACUUGGGGCUUAACCCUGAGCUUGCGGUCGAUACGGGCAUGACUGGAGUUCGGCAGGGGAGACUGGAAUUCCUGGUGUAGCGGUGAAAUGCGCAGAUAUCAGGAGGAACACCGGUGGCGAAGGCGGGUCUCGUGGGCCGAUACUGACGCUGAGGAACGAAAGCGUGGGGAGCGAACAGG